UUAAGCGACUAAGCGUACACGGUGGAUGCCCUGGCAGUCAGAGGCGAUGAAGGGCGUGCUAAUCUGCGAUAAGCGCCGGUAAGGUGAUAUGAACCGUUAUAACCGGCGAUACCCGAAUGGGGAAACCCAGUGUGACUCGUCACACUAUCAUUAACUGAAUCCAUAGGUUAAUGAGGCGAACCGGGGGAACUGAAACAUCUAAGUACCCCGAGGAAAAGAAAUCAACCGAGAUUCCCCCAGUAGCGGCGAGCGAACGGGGAGGAGCCCAGAGCCUGAAUCAGCAUGUGUGUUAGUGGAAGCGUCUGGAAAGACGCGCGAUACAGGGUGACAGCCCCGUACACAAAAGCGCAUGUGCUGUGAGCUCGAUGAGUAGGGCGGGACACGUGGUAUCCUGUCUGAAUAUGGGGGGACCAUCCUCCAAGGCUAAAUACUCCUGACUGACCGAUAGUGAACCAGUACCGUGAGGGAAAGGCGAAAAGAACCCCGGCGAGGGGAGUGAAAAAGAACCUGAAACCGUGUACGUACAAGCAGUGGGAGCACCCUUUGGGGUGUGACUGCGUACCUUUUGUAUAAUGGGUCAGCGACUUAUAUUCUGUAGCAAGGUUAACCGUAUAGGGGAGCCGUAGGGAAACCGAGUCUUAACCGGGCGUUAAGUUGCAGGGUAUAGACCCGAAACCCGGUGAUCUAGCCAUGGGCAGGUUGAAGGUUGGGUAACACUAACUGGAGGACCGAACCGACUAAUGUUGAAAAAUUAGCGGAUGACCUGUGGCUGGGGGUGAAAGGCCAAUCAAACCGGGAGAUAGCUGGUUCUCCCCGAAAGCUAUUUAGGUAGCGCCUCGUGAAUUCAUCUCCGGGGGUAGAGCACUGUUUCGGCUAGGGGGCCAUCCCGGCUUACCAACCCGAUGCAAACUGCGAAUACCGGAGAAUGUUAUCACGGGAGACACACGGCGGGUGCUAACGUCCGUCGUGAAGAGGGAAACAACCCAGACCGCCAGCUAAGGUCCCAAAGUCAUGGUUAAGUGGGAAACGAUGUGGGAAGGCCCAGACAGCCAGGAUGUUGGCUUAGAAGCAGCCAUCAUUUAAAGAAAGCGUAAUAGCUCACUGGUCGAGUCGGCCUGCGCGGAAGAUGUAACGGGGCUAAACCAUGCACCGAAGCUGCGGCAGCGAACGUAUCACUUAAAGCGAUUCAGCGGGUUACGAUUGACGGAGCGAAGCGACGUCAAAGCGUAUACAAAGUCGAGUCGGUUUAAGGAUACGUUCGUUGGGUAGGGGAGCGUUCUGUAAGCCUGUGAAGGUGGCCUGUGAGGGUUGCUGGAGGUAUCAGAAGUGCGAAUGCUGACAUAAGUAACGAUAAAGCGGGUGAAAAGCCCGCUCGCCGGAAGACCAAGGGUUCCUGUCCAACGUUAAUCGGGGCAGGGUGAGUCGACCCCUAAGGCGAGGCCGAAAGGCGUAGUCGAUGGGAAACAGGUUAAUAUUCCUGUACUUGGUGUUACUGCGAAGGGGGGACGGAGAAGGCUAUGUUGGCCGGGCGACGGUUGUCCCGGUUUAAGCGUGUAGGUGUGUGUUCCAGGUAAAUCCGGUUCACUUUAACACUGAGGCGUGAUGACGAGGCACUACGGUGCUGAAGCAACAAAUGCCCUGCUUCCAGGAAAAGCCUCUAAGCAUCAGGUAACAUCAAAUCGUACCCCAAACCGACACAGGUGGUCAGGUAGAGAAUACCAAGGCGCUUGAGAGAACUCGGGUGAAGGAACUAGGCAAAAUGGUGCCGUAACUUCGGGAGAAGGCACGCUGACACGUAGGUGAAGUGAUUUACUCAUGGAGCUGAAGUCAGUCGAAGAUACCAGCUGGCUGCAACUGUUUAUUAAAAACACAGCACUGUGCAAACACGAAAGUGGACGUAUACGGUGUGACGCCUGCCCGGUGCCGGAAGGUUAAUUGAUGGGGUCAGCGCAAGCGAAGCUCCUGAUCGAAGCCCCGGUAAACGGCGGCCGUAACUAUAACGGUCCUAAGGUAGCGAAAUUCCUUGUCGGGUAAGUUCCGACCUGCACGAAUGGCGUAAUGAUGGCCAGGCUGUCUCCACCCGAGACUCAGUGAAAUUGAACUCGCUGUGAAGAUGCAGUGUACCCGCGGCAAGACGGAAAGACCCCGUGAACCUUUACUAUAGCUUGACACUGAACAUUGAGCCUUGAUGUGUAGGAUAGGUGGGAGGCUUUGAAGCGUGGACGCCAGUCUGCGUGGAGCCGACCUUGAAAUACCACCCUUUAAUGUUUGAUGUUCUAACGUGGACCCGUAAUCCGGGUUGCGGACAGUGUCUGGUGGGUAGUUUGACUGGGGCGGUCUCCUCCUAAAGAGUAACGGAGGAGCACGAAGGUUGGCUAAUCCUGGUCGGACAUCAGGAGGUUAGUGCAAUGGCAUAAGCCAGCUUGACUGCGAGCGUGACGGCGCGAGCAGGUGCGAAAGCAGGUCAUAGUGAUCCGGUGGUUCUGAAUGGAAGGGCCAUCGCUCAACGGAUAAAAGGUACUCCGGGGAUAACAGGCUGAUACCGCCCAAGAGUUCAUAUCGACGGCGGUGUUUGGCACCUCGAUGUCGGCUCAUCACAUCCUGGGGCUGAAGUAGGUCCCAAGGGUAUGGCUGUUCGCCAUUUAAAGUGGUACGCGAGCUGGGUUUAGAACGUCGUGAGACAGUUCGGUCCCUAUCUGCCGUGGGCGCUGGAGAACUGAGGGGGGCUGCUCCUAGUACGAGAGGACCGGAGUGGACGCAUCACUGGUGUUCGGGUUGUCAUGCCAAUGGCACUGCCCGGUAGCUAAAUGCGGAAGAGAUAAGUGCUGAAAGCAUCUAAGCACGAAACUUGCCCCGAGAUGAGUUCUCCCUGAGACUUAGAGUCUCCUGAAGGAACGUUGAAGACGACGACGUUGAUAGGCCGGGUGUGUAAGCGCAGCGAUGCGUUGAGCUAACCGGUACUAAUGAACCGUGAGGCUUAACCUU
rnacentral:rRNA from 1 species